rnacentral:rRNA from 1 species
CCUACGGGAGGCAGCAGUGGGGAAUAUUGCACAAUGGGGGAAACCCUGAUGCAGCGACGCCGCGUGAGUGAAGAAGUAAUUCGUUACGUAAAGCUCUAUCAGCAGGGAAGAAAUUCUGACCUUACGGCCAGCAGACGGUAGCUGAGUAAGAAGCUCCGGCCAACUACGUGCCAGUAGCCGCGGUACUACGUAGGGGGCAAGCGUUCUCCGGAGUUACUGGGUGUAAAGGGAGCGUAGGCGGUGUGCCAAGUGUGGAGUGAAAUGCCACAGCCUAACUGCAGAACUGCUUUGGAUACGGGCGAACGAGAGUACGGGAGGGGUAAGCGGAAUUCCUGGUGUAGCGGUGAAAUGCGUAGAGAUUAGGAGGAACACCGGUGGCGAAGGCGGCUUACUGGACCGUAACUGACGUUGAGGCUCGAAGGCGUGGGGAGCAAACAGGAUUAGAUACCCUUGUAGUC